rnacentral:rRNA from 1 species
UCCAACUGCUUGUAAUACACUAAAGUCAUCAGAUUCCAUCUGAUCUUGGAUGCUAAGCAGUGUCAGUGCUGGUUAGUACUUGUAUGGGAGACCACCAAGGAAUACCAAGUGCUGUAGGCU